UGGGGAAUUUUGGACAAUGGGCGAAAGCCUGAUCCAGCAAUGCCGCGUGUGUGAAGAAGGCCUUCGGGUUGUAAGCACUUUUGUCCGGAAAGAAAUCCUUGGCUCUAAUACAGUCGGGGGAUGACGGUACCGGAAGAAUAAGCACCGGCUAACUACGUGCCAGCAGCCGCGGUAAUACGUAGGGUGCAAGCGUUAAUCGGAAUUACUGGGCGUAAAGCGUGCGCAGGCGGUUUGCUAAGACCGAUGUGAAAUCCCCGGGCUCAACCUGGGAACUGCAUUGGUGACUGGCAGGCUAGAGUAUGGCAGAGGGGGGUAGAAUUCCACGUGUAGCAGUGAAAUGCGUAGAGAUGUGGAGGAAUACCGAUGGCGAAGGCAGCCCCCUGGGCCAAUACUGACGCUCAUGCACGAAAGCGUGGGGAGCAAAACAGGAUUAGAUACCCUGGUAGUCCACGCCCUAAAACGAUGUCAACUAGUUGUUGGGGAUUCAUUUCCUUAGUAACGUAGCUAACGCGUGAAGUUGACCGCCUGGGGAGUACGGUCGCAAGAUUAAAACUUAAAUGAAUUGACGGGGUCAUAGCUGUUUCCU
rnacentral:rRNA from 1 species